GCAAGUCGAACGAGUCAUUCGUGGAAACUUAGUGGCGGACGGGUGAGUAACGCGUGGGUACCUGCCCUGUACAGGGGGACAACAGCUGGAAACGGCUGCUAAUACCGCAUAAGACUGCAUGGUAAAAGGAGUAAUCGUACAGGAUGGACCCGCGUCUGAUUAGCCAGUUGGCAGGGUAACGGCCUACCAAAGCGACGAUCAGUAGCCGAUCUGAGAGGAUGUACGGCCACAUUGGGACUGAGACACGGCCCAGACUCCUACGGGAGGCAGCAGUGGGGAAUAUUGCACAAUGGAGGAAACUCUGAUGCAGCGACGCCGCGUGAGUGAAGAAGUAUUUCGGUAUGUAAAGCUCUAUCAGCAAGGAAGAAAAUGACGGUACCUGACUAAGAAGCACCGGCUAAAUACGUGCCAGCAGCCGCGGUAAUACGUAUGGUGCAAGCGUUAUCCGGAUUUACUGGGUGUAAAGGGAGCGUAGGUGGCAAGGCAAGCCAGAAGUGAAAACCCGGGGCUCAACCGCGGGAUUGCUUUUGGAACUGUCAUGCUAGAGUGCAGGAGGGGUGAGCGGAAUUCCUAGUGUAGCGGUGAAAUGCGUAGAUAUUAGGAGGAACACCGGAGGCGAAGGCGGCUCACUGGACUGUAACUGACACUGAGGCUCGAAAGCGUGAGGAGCAAACAGGAUUAGAUACCCUGGUAGUCCACGCGGUAAACGAUGAAUACUAGAUGUC
rnacentral:rRNA from 1 species